GACGCCGCGUGAGCGAUGAAGUAUUUCGGUAUGUAAAGCUCUAUCAGCAGGGAAGAAAAUGACGGUACCUGACUAAGAAGCCCCGGCUAACUACGUGCCAGCAGCCGCGGUAAUACGUAGGGGGCAAGCGUUAUCCGGAUUUACUGGGUGUAAAGGGAGCGUAGACGGCAUGGCAAGCCAGAUGUGAAAGCCCGGGGCUCAACCCCGGGACUGCAUUUGGAACUGUCAGGCUAGAGUGUCGGAGAGGAAAGCGGAAUUCCUAGUGUAGCGGUGAAAUGCGUAGAUAUUAGGAGGAACACC
rnacentral:rRNA from 1 species